AGAGUUUGAUCCUGGCUCAGGAUGAACGCUGGCGGUGCGCCUAACACAUGCAAGUCGAACGAAGGAUUGUGAAGGAACUUUACGGAGGGAAAACACAAUGACUGAGUGGCGGACGGGUGAGUAACGCGUAGGGAACCUGGCCCUUACAGGGGGAUAACAGAUGGAAACAACUGCUAAUACCGCAUAAGCGCCCAGCCUCGCAUGAGGCAGAGUGAAAAACUAAGGUGGUAAGGGAUGGCCCUGCGUCCGAUUAGCUAGUUGGUAUGGUAACGGCAUACCAAGGCGACGAUCGGUAGCCGGCCUGAGAGGGUGGACGGCCACAUUGGGACUGAGACACGGCCCAAACUCCUACGGGAGGCAGCAGUGGGGAAUAUUGCACAAUGGGGGGAACCCUGAUGCAGCGACGCCGCGUGGGUGAAGGAGUAUUUCGGUAUGUAAAGCCCUAUCAGCAGGGAAGAACAAUGACGGUACCUGACUAAGAAGCACCGGCUAAAUACGUGCCAGCAGCCGCGGUAAUACGUAUGGUGCAAGCGUUAUCCGGAUUUACUGGGUGUAAAGGGAGCGCAGGCGGCACGGCAAGCCUGAUGUGAAAGCCCGCGGCCCAACCGCGGGACUGCAUUGGGAACUACCGGGCUGGAGUGCCGGAGAGGUAGGCGGAAUUCCUAGUGUAGCGGUGAAAUGCGUAGAUAUUAGGAGGAACACCAGUGGCGAAGGCGGCCUGCUGGACGAUGACUGACGUUGAGGCUCGAAAGCGUGGGGAGCAAACAGGAUUAGAUACCCUGGUAGUCCACGCCGUAAACG
rnacentral:rRNA from 1 species